UAGGGAAUCUUCCGCAAUGGGCGAAAGCCUGACGGAGCAACGCCGCGUGAGUGAUGAAGGUCUUCGGAUCGUAAAACUCUGUUAUUAGGGAAGAACAAAUGUGUAAGUAACUAUGCACGUCUUGACGGUACCUAAUCAGAAAGCCACGGCUAACUACGUGCCAGCAGCCGCGGUAAUACGUAGGUGGCAAGCGUUAUCCGGAAUUAUUGGGCGUAAAGCGCGCGUAGGCGGUUUUUUAAGUCUGAUGUGAAAGCCCACGGCUCAACCGUGGGGGGUCAUUGGAAACUGGAAAACUUGAGUGCAGAAGAGGAAAGUGGAAUUCCGUGUGUAGCGGUGAAAUGCGCAGAGAUAUGGAGGAACACCAGUGGCGAAGGCGACUUUCUGGUCUGUAACUGACGCUGAUGUGCGAAAGCGUGGGGAUCAAACAGG
rnacentral:rRNA from 1 species